rfam:Tupaia chinensis contig106049, whole genome shotgun sequence.
GAGCUCGCUACGGCAGCACACACACUAAAACUGGAAUGAUACAGAGAAGAUUAGCAGGGCCCCUGUGCAAGGAGGACACACAAAUUCGUGAAGCAUUCCAUAUAUAU